GAUCCAAACUCUGAGCCAGUGCCACACCCGAGGACAAACAUCUGCCCCCGCCCUGCACCUCGCCACUGUGACUGCACCGCUUCCUGUGAUCCUGCAAGUCAGUUUUAUGCCAUAAGAAUCAAUAUUACUAGUGAGACUGUUCAACUUGACAACAU